AUUGCUUCCCGGCCUUUCGGUGAAGAUCAAGCGUAGUGUCUGCUUUUAUCAGGUUAAUAUCCGAUACGUCCUCUAUCCGAGGAAAAUAUAUUGAAUUGAUUUUUGGAGCCAGGAGAUGGAGUAGCAGCUUGCUGUAGCCACUCCACACACUAACAUGGUGUUGGAGAGCUCCAGAAAUGGUGCACUCCCU
ensembl:snRNA U2 U2 spliceosomal RNA